CUAAGGAGUAGGAACCAAGGACACUCUGCACAGAGCACUAUGAAAGAUGAAGAGGGGAAAAAACAGCACAGAGUCAGGGUAAUACCAGGAAAUGCUUCUGAGUCAUUAGCUGCAAGGCUGAUUUCUUUGCUCACUAAACAGAGAUGGGCAGCAGAGCUGAUUUUAACCUGAAACAGACAAGAUUUGUACGCGCCUCCCACACCACCACCUCUCAUCAGGAUGUCACUUUUAUUGUUGUUUGCCUUCAUCAAAAAUAAGAGAUUAACCAUUUGUAAAGGGGGCCGUGAGACCAUUAAUGGGGCCAGAUUCUGCUGUUACAUCCAUACACCUCUAACGACAUUCCCCAAGAUGGGCCAAACUGGGAAUGAUGGCAGCUAUGACUUUGGGUGCCAUAAGAGCUGAAACCAGAACUGGGAUCACGAAGAGAAGAGUCCCCUCCUUUGGCUGCUUGUUGGGACACACACUAAAUGCAAUGAAACAAAGUAAACAGCGGCAACACAGAGCAUGGACAAUGUACAUCCAGUGAGCAUAGAGCUUGUGCAUAAGUGUAAGAGAGAUUGUUGAUUCAGCUGGUGCGCACACCCAGCAGGGCAGGGGUUAACAGUCUCUAGCGUGCUUUGUGCUGACAACUAGUUCAUGAAGUGUGACUUGGUUUUGAGCCCAAACACCCACAGAAAAGUUGAGCAACAAUGGACCGUGGAGCUUGCAGAAAUGACUCAUAACUGGCCUCAGCUGCCUGACCUUCCACCAUAUGUGGG